rnacentral:lncRNA from 1 species
CAGGAAACGUGUUCUCAUGCAGUGGACUCACUAAUAAACGUUCUCUUCUUUUAGGUUCAUCCUUCUACUGAACAAAUCGCUGCCCUGAAGCUUGAACACUGUUGCUCAUCUCUGUGUAACCUGUGAAUUGUCUCUUUGGUUUCCUGUUUUCUUACAUGCUGGGGGACGUGCCUCCCAAGCAGUUUGCUGUUGCAUUUUCACAAUAGCUGUGUCGUGGUUAAAACAUGAAAAAAUCAAGAGAUGUUUGGCUUCCUUGCUAUCUUUGAAGGUAUGUAGCAAGAAAUAACUUUGGCUAGACAGUGACAUAUUAUUUUUUCAUCAUGGAUGCACACU